rnacentral:lncRNA from 1 species
GUGGAUGCAUAUGAUUCAGCCAUGUUACUGAGAUUUGGUUCUCUUGAGCUGUACCUGUCUUCACAUGUAAAAGUUAAAUUGAGGAUCUACUGUGGUUGCCAGAUAUCAAGAAGACUGUAACUAGCAGGUAAUAAACAUGCAUCAUUAUCUUAAGACUACAUAAUUUCAUACAUUUUUUUGAACUUGCUUAGAGGUCUCAUAUAAAAGCCAUGAGUUCCCUGAACUACAUGUGCAUAAGAAAGGGCAACCUCAUUUGUUUCCCUCAAUGAGUUUACAUGUUUUGCAUGAGAAGUUGGUUCUAGGAACUUAAGAUACUUAUAUUGUAGUUAGAUAUCUUUUUGUGGCUGAGAUUUGAGUCUUCUUCAUUAUUCAGUUAAACUCACUGAUCUAAAAGUUGCUUUUCGAAGUCAUUUUGUAACUUAUGUUACUUCUAAACUUAAUGUUGGUUGCUUUAUCAUCUACUCCCUCGUUGACUUUCUAAAGUCUACUGUCAAGGCCCCUUAACACAUUUUUCCUUUAGUUCUUUUCAUGAUUCUUCAGCUUUAUACUGAUAAGUGAAUUAACUGAUAUAUAUAUAUAUAUGUAUGAUUAUUUAGGGGGGACUAAGACAAAUAUUUAAUUUUGAAGGCCACCUGGUAUAUGUAUAGUCAGAUUGUGAAAAAUAUCUUAAUAUCAUUGAUUUCCAUAUUUGGCAGUUACCUUUAAUCUUAUUAUUUCUUCUCUAAUUUUUUUGGACUGUACUAGGUUCUCUCAUGUCCUCAGAUCAUAACUGGUUUCUUGCAAGAACUACAAUGGCCGUUCCUUAGAGUUAGAGGGAUAUUCAAUAGAAUUUAGACAUAUACUCUGAUGUGGCUUGGAAUGAGAUUGUUAUUGAUAUCAAUAACUAGAUGUCUGAAAAAACAGUGUUAUUUGAACUUAGGGUUAGUUUUGUUUAUGGUUAUGUUUCCAACAUGGAUAUGUUCAGAUUCUUAAAUGUUUUUUUUCCAAGAUAGAUGAAUAUAUGACAAAUGCAGGUACUUCAAGAAAAAUGAAGAACUGGAGUCACAUAGCCAAAGAAAAGAAAAAAAAAAAAGAAAAAGCUAUUUGGGGACCAUUCAACUUAACCUUAUAAAUAACUAAUAUGUUUAAAGUUACCAUUCAAGGAAGAUUAUCUAUCAAGCUAUUGAUUUUUUUCCAUUAUUAAAGGAAGAAGAGAAGAUUGCUGGUACUUUUUUUUGGAGAAUCUCAUGGAUUCUUUAGGUGCAAAUAUUGUAGUGCCGUAAACCUAUAAUUGUUUCAAAUUUGUAGGGAUAGACUGAUAUUUUGAGAUAGGAUCCUGAUUUCUUUCCUAGAAUAACUAUUGUAUCAUUUGGAAUAAGAAACAAUAAAUAUUUAUGUUAUCGGAGCUAGGUAUUCCUAAAAUCUUCUCUCCAUUCAUUUACAGCCUUUUGUUGAAACCUUAGUCUAAGAAAACUUAUCAACCUUCAUUGUUGAAACCUUAGUUCAAAAACCUAUCUUCCUUCAUUGCUGAAUAUCACCUUGAAAAUGGCUAGAAUCUGAAAUAAUUCCUCAAACACUUACUGAAAUAGUCAAUCAAAUGGGGGACUACAGAAUUUGAACCCUGCUUAUCAUCUCAAUUGAAGAAACUAUCUGCAGUGGUUACAAAUUGUCAAUGGAAUCUAUGUCAUUAGUCUGCUCCAACCAUAAUUGAUCCCAAGUUCAGUGCAUGGGUUGAAGAAGAUUCCUUGAUUAUAUGGUGGCUUUUGAUUUCUAUAGAUUCUAAACUAGGUGGACCUUUUAUGUUCCUUUCAACUACUCGAGAAAUAUGGGAGGCAAUAGGUCAAUCUUAUUCCAAGAUCAAUGAUGUAGCCCUUAUUUUUUGAGAUCAAAACCAAAAUAUCAGCCACUAGGCGAGGUACAUUCUUCAGCUGUAAAUAUAGUAGUGCUGUAGAUCCAUAAUUGUUCCAGAUUUGUAGGGAUAGACUGAUUUCUAGGGAUAAACUGAUUCUUUGGGAUAGGAUCCUGAUUUCUUUCCUAGAGUAACUAUUGUAUCUUUGUAUAAAUAGAGGUACAAAGCUGUCAUUUGGAUAAGAAAUAGCAAAGGUUUCUUCACUUUUUAAUACUACUUGACUUACCUGAAUGGUUUGGUAUUCGAUACUCAAAAACUGAUCCGGUGGAUGUAGUUAGAAACAAUGAGAUGAAUGUUUCAUUUGGUUCAUCUUCCAGCAAGGGAGUAAUAGAUGUCAGGUGAUGAUCUUCUGGACUUUCAUGAUUUAUCCAUUUCCUUUUCCGUUGAUAUAGUCGUCUCUCUACCAACUUACCUCCCUAUAUAUCAAAGGAAGUCCAUUAGACAUGACAUUAAAUUUAGGAUAAUAGGAUAUGUAUGCAUUGUGUUAUUAGUUUGUAAUGCAGAGUACCUUUGUUAGGAGAAACAAGGAUAUAGAGUGAUCUCCAAUCAAGCCAUGUACGGUGCACCCCAUGAGUGGUAUUAGAGAACCCUCUUUUGAUGCAUCUACACUCUUUAGAUGCUUUUUCCAUGAUGGCCUUGAGUUCUUAUCAUAUUCAUAGAGAUCACCUGCAGAACUAUUGCACCAUUUCAUGUUUAACUAACUUUGGUGAAUCUUAAAAGUGAAAUAAACAACAGGUUAUAGUUUAUACUCUGAUAGCAACAUGCAUAGACAUUUGUGGCAUUCACACAUAACUCUUUCUUUUAUACCUUAGGAUCUUGUUUUGGAGAAGCAUUUUAUUUUAUUGUGCAUUCAUUUCUCCAUUUGACAAUGCUUUAUAAUUUGGUUAAAAAAUAGUCAGAAGUUAAUGGCAAAAUAACAUUUGUGAAAAAUAGUGGAAUGUUCCACAAAAUAUUUUAGCUUUUGACUAUCUUUGAGUCAAAUUUGAAAUAGCAGUAAAAUUGCACCUGCACCUGUUCAAAGUUGAGCUGUAAAUUUGAUCCAUCAUCUUAAGUAGAGUAGGAAUAUUGAACCUUAUACCAAAACUAAUAACAUAUGCCUUGUUAGACUAAAGAUUUUCAAUAUCUCUUUGCUGGAUAAAAAGUAAGACUAGAGUAUUUUGGAUGUUUCUGUACAUCUGGAGAGAAAGGGAGAGCACCUUAUUGUAUAUACAACUUCUGCUCUAAUUCUAGCUGCAUCAGCAAUUGCUGCGACAUCUGCUCCUGGUGGCCGGCCAUGAUUCUCCCACCUGCUCUAUAUUUACAAUUACAACACAUAAGCCAUACUGUAUAUUAGAGUCUGCUAUUGAAAUCUGAAUCUCAUUUAUAGACUGGCAUAUAAGAAUUGAGUCAUCAAUGGUCGCAACGAAUGAAGUUCUCUAUUUGCUUUAAGACUUUGAAAGGAAAAGGUUUCUACCUUGGAGGUUCAACCUCGCUGAGUUCUAGCAACAAGCCGUUCUUUGUGCAGAAAUAAACUCUCCUACAUUGAGUUCAGAAAAAACAACGAAACUGUUAGUAGUGGGAAAUUGCUUACAUAAUGCAAUGAAAUUUGAUCACGCCCCUCUAUCAUGUGUUAUUCCCUGAAACAAAAUUCUUGAUGUUGAAUUAAUGUACUUACUGUCCAUCAUAUGAAACAGUACUGGACUUUAUUUGAAUCACUGAACUCUGUUCUGCUUCUUCAUUUGUACUUUGAUUGAAUGCAGGUUUGAACUCCACCCAUAUUGGUUGCGAGUUGUCACCGAGUUGCAUCUGAAAAAAGGAAGAUAAAUCAGCCUAUAAUAACAAGGAACCCUUGUGGUCACAAUACAAGUACGUGCCUUUUGCAAGAUUUUAUGUGUUAUAUUAUUCUGGCUACGGAUUCAAAAAGUUGAGGAUGGGGUUUUAAAGUAUUCUAACCUAAAAUAAUAGAAGUGGACAAUUUACUCUGAAAUCGUUUGUUUUCAGGAUUUUAAGAAGUGAGCUUUUUUGGGUUUGGUAUGUUGGUUAAUUUUCAGACAUGUUAGACUGAAACUUUGCUCCUUUCUGUUUCAGUAAAUUGAUUAUCAUUUGAGCUACAGAAGUCCAAUUGAGGCGAUUCAAGAUGUGUUGAGAAGCAAAUUGAAAGAGCUACAAGUUGAAAAAGGCAACUUAGGCUAACUCCACUUGGAUCAAACACAAGAUCAUGUCAAAAUUCAUGUGCUGUUUUUGGUCGAGGUUUUGAGUUCAUUAGGGAAUAUGAAUUCAUGUAAAAUUUACCCCCCACCCAUGCACGCAUCACACUAUCCCUCUCUCCUCCCUUUCGUGUCCAACCAUACUGUUGAAGUAUGUGUUCUGUAUUGGUGUCAGCCUUGUUACCUGUUAGCUAUGAUUGAAAUCUAUCUUUAUACCGGUGGAGUUGUGCCUGAGGCUCUCCAUUAAUGUUUUACAUAUUUCAGAAAUACCGUUGGCCCAUUGGAUUCCUUUCCUACUUCUCUUUGUUCCAAAAUAAUUGAAAUUUGGCUUCAUGGUUUUCUAUAUAUGCAUGAUCAUCAAAGUCGUUCUAUGUGCAUGCUAUAUUUCUAUUCUGUAGCUCUUAUGGACAUUAAAAUACUCAUCAGAAGAUUGUAUAAACUUUCUAAUAACUGGCACAUACAUGGGAGAGAAAAUGAUCCAAAUAUAGUUUAGUUGAAGUUUACUUUAUUCGUUACCAUAGGAAGAAA